GACAGAGGUGCCGAGCGUUAGGCGGAAUCACUGGGCUUAAAGCGUGUGUAGGCGGAGUUCUAAGUACCUUGUGAAAUCCCACGGCUUAACCGUGGAACUGCUUGGUAUACUGGUUCUCUUGGGCCAUCUAGGGGCUACUGGAACAAACGGUGGAGCGGUGAAAUGCGUAGAUAUCGCUUGGAACGCCGAAGGUGAAAACAGACUGCUGGGGUUGCGCCGACGCUGAGACACGAAAGCCAGGGGAGCAAACGGG
rnacentral:rRNA from 1 species